rnacentral:lncRNA from 1 species
CCUAUGUCUGAGCAUAUUGAUACUGAUUAUCCAUUGUGAUGAUCUCAUUCAUUACCAAAUUACAACUUGGUUGCAAAUUUUGUGUUUUUUUUUCUCCCUCUCCUUCCUUUACCUUUCAGGUCAUGCUGGUUUCACUUAAAAAUCACUUCAUACAGGUGUGCUUUGAUGGCCUUAGAUAUGCUGCUGCAUUUAUUGGGAGAGAGCAUAUAUUUUCUGUAAAUGACCUUUUCCCCAUUUUGAAUUGGAAGGACUUGUUUAAUUGUGCAUAUAUUGGGUGUCCAUUCCUUUUCGAAUUCUUAUUCUGUACAAUACAAACUUAUAAGAGUGAAUGUCUAUACACUGUUCAUAUUUUCGUCCAAUAUGACGUCGUUUUGAUAACAUUAUCGUGACCCUUUUUACCUGUAUCUCAACACGACAUCGUUUUACUAACUCUAACUAAAAAACGAUGUCACUUUGGUCUUUGACCCAGCCAUCUCUUUGCCCUUUUUCAAUUCAAGUGCCUUUGAAUCUGACAUAAUUUGCCCUUCUUUAAUCUUUCUCCAUCUUCCCACACUACCAACCAUGACUCUUUAUACCUCUAUUCCCCCCCCCCCAUACAACCACCCCUCCUUUCUUCUUCCCUCUUUUCUACUUGUUCUCUCCCACAGUUUUUCUCUAAAUGCUGCUAAUUUCGCCGAAUCAUUCCACAAAACUGGAUUUUCUGUUUUUAUUUAAUAAUCAUUAUUUGAACCUUGGUCUUUCCAAUGAUUCUUUCUCUACUUUGUAGGUUUUCUUCCUUGUUUUGGCAGAUCAGACUUUGAUACUUUUGGUAACAGUUAGGCUUUUGUAAAUUUUUAUUGAUUUCACUAACUGGAUUUCGAAUAAGAACUUUUGAUGGUUCGAUGGAGUUUUUCCUUAUGUGUAGAUUCUUGUGUCUUUGAGAAAAAAAAUCGUAUUUCUCAUUUAUCUCUUGGAUCGUAACUUGAAGGUGAUGUGAUUUUGUAGUCCGAUUAGAGAAUUUGGGUUUCUGGUAUUUUCUUGAAACUAGUUAUUUUAUAUCUUGGGUCUUCAUUCACUGUUUUGCGGCUUUCUUCUUGGCCCAAUUUCUUAUACAAAUACAGUCCGUUCUGUGUACACAAUUCCAGAUGACAAACAUUUCCAUAACUGGGUAAUAUUUGCUUCUUGGUUGUCAAUAUAAUUGUUGAUUAUUUCACAUUUUUAGUUUCAAUUCAGCUUCCCUUUAAUCAUGACUCGAUUUAAUUAUUUAUGCAUUGUUCCUUUUGUAAUUUCAUUACUUGGCUCUUAAGAUGGCUUCUUGCUUGUUUGAUUGAAAUCAUACUUUAACUAAGCC